CGAAGUCAAAAGUUUCAGACCAGCCUGGCCAACAUAGUGAAGCCCGGUCUCUACUAAAAAUACAAAAAUUAGUCUCUUUCCUCAGGUGUCCUGCAUCCGCCCAUUCCUCCUCCCUGGUCACCGCGUCCUUGGCUGGCAUGAGAAAAAUGGCUACAAACUUCCUAGUACAUGAGAAGAUCUGGUUCUACAAGUUCAAAUACGAUGAUGCGGAAAGGAGAUUCUAAGAGCAGAUGAACGGGCCUGUAGCUGGUGUUUCCCGCCAAGAGAAUGGCGCCAGCGUGAUCCUCUGUGACACUGCCAGAGCCAGAGAGAACAUCCAGAAAUCCCUGGCCAGAAGCUCAGGCCCUGGGGCUUCCAGCAGCCCCAGCAGAGACCACAGCAAGCUCCUUGUCCGGAUCGCCAGUCUGGAAGUGGAGAACAAGCCUGUGUGGCGUGGUGCAGGAGCUGCAGCAGGCUGUCUCCAAGCUGGAGGCCUGGCUGAAUGUGCUGGAGAAGAGCUCACCCGGCCAUCAGGCCACCGGGCUACAGCCCCGCAGACCCAGCACGUGUCUCCCAUGCUCCAAGUGGAGCCCUCAACCAAGAAGCCAGCCACACCAGCAGAGGAUGAGGAUGAUGACAUUGACCUGUUUGGCAGCGACAAUGAGGAGAAGGACAAGGAGGCAGCCCAGCUGUGGGAGGAGCAGCUGCUGCAGUACACGGAAAAGAAGACCAAGAAGCCUGCGCGGGUGGCCAAGUCCUCCAUCCUGCUGGACAUCAACACUUGGGCUGAUGACACCGACAUGGCCCAGCUGGAGGCCUAUGUGCGCUCCAUCCAGCUGGACUGGCUGGUCUGGGGAGCCUCCAAGCUGGUGCCUGUGGGCUAAUAUACACUGAAGCUGCAGAUUCAGCGUGUGGUGGAGGAUGACAAGGUGGGGACAGACUUGCUGGAGGAGGAAAUCACCAAGUUUGAGGAGCACAUGCAGAGUGUCAACAUCACAGCUUUCAACAAAAUCCGAAGCCUGUGUGUGCGUGUGUGUGCACGUGUGCGUGUGUGUGCACGUGUGCAUGCGUGA